GACGAACGCUGGCGGCGUGCUUAACACAUGCAAGUCGAACGGAAAGGCCCUGCUUUUGUGGGGUGCUCGAGUGGCGAACGGGUGAGUAACACGUGAGUAACCUGCCCUUGACUUUGGGAUAACUUCAGGAAACUGGGGCUAAUACCGGAUAGGAGCUCCCGCUGCAUGGUGGGGGGUGGAAAGUUUCGGCGGUUGGGGAUGGACUCGCGGCUUAUCAGCUUGUUGGUGGGGUAGUGGCUUACCAAGGCUUUGACGGGUAGCCGGCCUGAGAGGGUGACCGGCCACAUUGGGACUGAGAUACGGCCCAGACUCCUACGGGAGGCAGCAGGGGGGAAUAUUGCACAAUGGGCGGGAGCCUGAUGAAGCAACGCCGCGGGCGGGAUGACGGCCUUCGGGUUGUAAACCGCUUUCGCCUGUGACGAAGCGUGAGUGACGGUAAUGGGUAAAGAAGCACCGGCUAACUACGUG
rnacentral:rRNA from 1 species